rnacentral:rRNA from 1 species
AGAGUUUGAUCCUGGCUCAGAACGAACGCUGGCGGCGUGGAUAAGACAUGCAAGUCGAACGCUGGUUUGCGGGUAGCAAUAUUCGCAAGCUGGAGUGGCGCAAGGGUGUGUAACACGUGGGUAAUCUGCCGUGAAGUCUGGGAUAACUUGCUGAAAGGCGAGCUAAUACCGGAUGUGAACGCAAGUUCAAAGUUGGGGACCGUAAGGCCUGACGCUUCACGAUGAGCCCGCGGCCUAUCAGCUAGUUGGUGAGGUAACGGCUCACCAAGGCUAAGACGGGUAGCUGGUCUGAGAGGACGACCAGCCACACUGGAACUGAGACACGGUCCAGACACCUACGGGUGGCAGCAGUCGAGAAUUUUUCUCAAUGGGCGAAAGCCUGAAGGAGCGACGCCGCGUGGGGGAUGAAUGGCUUCGGCCCGUAAACCCCUGUCAUUUGCGAACAAGUUGAUUCACCUAACACGUGAAGCAUUGAUUGUAGCGGAAGAGGAAGGGACGGCUAACUCUGUGCCAGCAGCCGCGGUAAUACAGAGGUCCCAAGCGUUGUUCGGAUUCACUGGGCGUAAAGGGUGCGUAGGCGGCCAGGUAAGUUUGAUGUGAAAUCCCGCAGCUCAACUGCGGAACUGCAUUGAAUACUAUUUGGCUCGAGGAAUGGAGGGGAGACUGGAAUUCUCGGUGUAGCAGUGAAAUGCGUAGAUAUCGAGAGGAACACCAGUGGCGAAGGCGAGUCUCUGGACAUUUCCUGACGCUCAGGCACGAAAGCCAGGGGAGCAAACGGGAUUAGAUACCCCCGUAGUCC